rnacentral:rRNA from 1 species
UGGGGAAUAUUGGACAAUGGGCGCAAGCCUGAUCCAGCCAUGCCGCGUGAGUGACGAAGGCCUUAGGGUUGUAAAGCUCUUUUGGCGGGGAAGAUAAUGACGGUACCCGCAGAAUAAGCUCCGGCUAACUUCGUGCCAGCAGCCGCGGUAAUACGAAGGGAGCUAGCGUUGUUCGGAAUCACUGGGCGUAAAGCGCACGUAGGUGGGCAGUUAAGUCAGGGGUGAAAGCCCGAGGCUCAACCUCGGAAUUGCCUCUGAUACUGGCUGUCUAGAGUUCGAGAGAGGUGAGUGGAAUUCCUAGUGUAGAGGUGAAAUUCGUAGAUAUUAGGAAGAACACCGGUGGCGAAGGCGGCUCACUGGCUCGAUACUGACACUGAGGUGCGAAAGCGUGGGGAGCAAACAGGAUUAGAUACCCACGUAGUCCCUGAGCGGGCUGGCAAGGCGCAU